rnacentral:misc_RNA from 1 species
GAUGAAGAACGUAGCAAAAUGCGAUAAGUAAUGUGAAUUGCAGAAUUCAGUGAAUCAUCGAAUCUUUGAACGCACAUUGCGCCCGCCAGUAUUCUGGCGGGCAUGCCUGUUCGAGCGUCAUUUCAACCCUCAAGCACAGCUUGGUGUUGGGACUCGCGUUAAUUCGCGUCCCCCAAAUUGAUUGGCGGUCACGUCGAGCUUCCAUAGCGUAGUAGUAAAACCCUCGUUACUGGUAAUCGUCGCGGCCACGCCGUUAAACCCCAACUUCUGAAUGUUGACCUCGGAUCAGGUAGGAAUACCCGCUGAACUUAAGCAUAUCAAUAAGCGGAGGA